GGGCUUGUGGUUUAGUGGUAUAAUACUCCCUUAGCAUCCGAUGGCGUCUUCCUCUUGCGAGGAGUCCCUCACGAGAAACUGGGAGUGGUCCGGGGUUCGAUUCCCCGCGAGUCCA